rnacentral:lncRNA from 1 species
AAAAGUCGAGGGAAAGCCAGGGAAACCCGCUCCGAAACCUCGGAAUGAUCUUUUUCCAAAUAACUCAUUGCAUUUAAUCGAGUUCAAGAGACUUUAAGGCCUUGUCUCUACGGGACGUUUUCGUGGGAUUUGUCCCAAGUUCGAAUCGCAGGAAUGAAACUUCUGGGAUUUUUCCCAGUUACCGUCUCCACGGGACGGGGCUCAUACAGUCCUGCGACUAGUUUGCGCGGGAAGAUAACUUGGUUUUAGUCGAUUAUUUAACCGUAUUAAAAUAAUAAUUGCACUCAAUUGACAAUUAGACACAUUAUUUUAACUAAACAAACAUGAACAAUGGAGCAAUCAACAAAAUAUCGCAUAAUUCGUUUACACUUUUUCUUCUUCUCUUAGUGGGUCCCACUCAAUAUUUUCCCAACUUCGUAAGUGGGAUUUUCCCUGGGACAAAUCCCGUGAAACGGCCCGUGGAGACAAGGCCUUACCCUGAUGGAGUUUUCAAUCUAAAUAACGCAAGCAACGAUUUUUCUGAAACUUAUUCCCGCUGUCAACUCGUUUAAAAUAUAUGUUAAGUAUUUUUGAGUAAUGCCGUCUUUCUGUCCCGGCUAUUAGAGCUGCUACCAGGAUCUCCCUGGAAGUAUCGGUUGAUCCGUUGACGGACAGUUCGUCGACGUACUGUGGAAGGCUCCCCAGUCCAACGGCCGCACCGUUAUCCAGUAUCUAGUCAACAUCACCAUGCUCAAGUCUUUCGACAACCGCUACGAUGACGUCAGCAGGGCCAUGACCCGGGUCAACGCCUCCGCCGCCACACCUGCACCCACCGCCACCCUUGCACACAGCGUUCUUGUCAAGGUGAACAAGACUGACACGUCGGUGACGGUCCACGACCUGGUGGCCCUACACGAUGUACGAGGUCACAGUGACGGCCAAGAACAUCCACGGAACAAGUCGCCCUCGUACGCGGUGCGAUUCUUGACGCUGACCGCCGCGGAACUGUCAAGAAGACAAGACCGCCGUCAAAACGCCCGAACUUCCGGACAUCAAAACUUGUUGCUUUCAAUGCCGGGCGUCCGUCACAAGGCGUAAGUCCCUCUCAGCUUUUUUUUUUUUUUUUUUUUUUGUCACAGACAUAAACCUUAUCGAUAAAAAUACUGUUCAGAUUUAAGAUGCUGGAUCUAUCUAGUUCUUUUGAAAGUCAACUGAAGAGUUUGCCCGUAGAAAGGCGUCUUUGAACUUUAAAACAUUUUGAGCAAAACUCAUUUGAAGCUUUGAGUUAGUGACUUUGCACAUU